AACACAUUUAUUCUGGACUGAAACCUUGUACAAAUACGUCUGUAAGGGCAUCUGCCACACCGGUCCUACCUCACCUGAAACCUGUACAAGCAAGCUACAGUAACGUAAGACAAAGAUCCCCUCAACAAUAAAUAUUCUUCUUCCCGGAUGAUAGCUUGGAGUUGGAGUGAACUGACCUGACCGCCCACAACCCGGACUGCUCCUCUUUGUGGGUCAGUGAUGCAGCGGGAGUGACGCAGCAGUGGCAGCAGCCUCCAGAAGGCAAAUAUACACUGCAGGAACAGGGAACCUCUACUAGAACAGACAACAGUGAAGAAGGAAGAUGGUUAAAGCCUGGGCCGAAGGGAGAACAGGAGCCAGGUAGUCACUCUGCUUUACUCCUUCUAAGCAAACAUCAGAGAGACUUCCACAACGGCAGAGGCAGGCACAGCAAGACCUUCAGCACUGAAACACUUUUGGUAGGCAACUCAAAGUAUGAGUGCUUGUUAUGUCAGUGACUUAAGUGCUACCAGAGAUGAGUGUCUUUGUAUGCUAAGAGUGUGAAUGCUUUGAGAAUGAGGAUGAGGCCUACUCAGCCUUGUACUGCGGUCUGUGUUUCCCUGCUGAUCAGCGUCCCUACAGGCUGCAGCUGAGCUUACAGAGCAUCAGAGGCACAAGGCCUGUAAACUUUGUCCUGAGGUUUUCACCACAUCCUAGCUGUGAUAUCAAGUGUGCAUGACAAGGUGAUGCUUACAAAAUACUUCAGAGGAUCUACUAUAUGGAGCUCCAUGA